AUACGGAUGGUGCGAGCGUUGUUCGGAAUUACUGGGCGUAAAGGGCGCGUAGGCGGCGAUGUAAGUCAAAUGUGAAAGUCCUCGGCUUAACCGGGGAAGUGCAUCUGAAACUGCAUUGCUUGAGUAUGGGAGAGGAAUGUGGAAUUCCCGGUGUAGAGGUGAAAUUCGUAGAGAUCGGGAGGAAUACCGGUGGCGAAGGCGACUUUCUGGACCAAUACUGACGCUGAGGCGCGAAAGCGUGGGGAGCAAACAGGAUUAGAUACCCUAGUAGUCC
rnacentral:rRNA from 1 species